GCCUUCCUUAUCACUGCCUGUGAUGAUGAUAUCAUCCACAUACACAAGUAAUACCACAAUACCAGAUGAGGUGGUUAGGGUAAAGAGAGUGUGAUCCAAUUCUGACUUCCUGAACCCUCUCCCAUUCAGUGUAGUACUCAACUUGUUGUACCACGCCCUUGGAGACUGCUUGAGACCGUAGAUAGCUUUCCUCAACCUCAACACAUUACCCUUCUUUACUAGAUGUUCAAGACCUGGUGGUGGAUGCAUGUAUACUUCAUCUUCCAACUCUCCUUGAAGGAAUGCAUUCUUCACAUCCAUUUGCCACAAAUCCCACUCAAGAUUCACAGCUAAAGAUAACACAAUCCUGAUAGUAUGAAGUUUAGCCACAGGAGCAAAGGUCUCAACAUAGUCCUCACCAUAUGUCUGAGUAAACCCUCUUGCCACCAACCUAGACUUGCGCCUCUCUAUUCUUCCAUCAGGAUGAAACUUGAUUGUGAACACCCAUUUACUAGUCACUGCCUUCUUCCCUUUAGGCAGCUCACUCUCAUACCAUGUUUCAUUCUUAAUCAUGGCUCCGGACUCAUCAGCGACUGAAUCUCUCCACUCUUUUAAAGCCAUAGCUUCUUCAUAUGUCCUUGGAAUAUAGCUCUCAUCCAAGCUUACUGUGAAGGCUAUAUGCUCGUCCGGAAACUCUGCAAAGGAACACAUAGCUUGAGAAGGAUGCUCCACAGCCUGGGCAUUGUAGUACACUCUCGUGUUUACCCAGUUGGAAGCAUCUCUCUUCACCCUUGUGCUCCUCCUUAGCUCCUGAACUUGUUCGUCUUGUGUUUCUUGCCUAUCUUCACUUGAUUGAGCACCACUCUCAUUUGACCCAUCAGGAUCUACUUCCCAAUCUCCACUAGACUGAGUACCACUCUCAUCUGAGCCAGUAGACUCUCUUUGCCCAUCUCCACUAGACUGAGCACCACUCUCUACUUCCUGUGUCAUCUCUUGAUUAUGCUGGCCUGAAUCUUCUUGAUUGUGCACUUGCUCAUGAGAUUCAGUUCCAUUCCCCCUCUCAUGAUCAAGAGGAGUUGUUCUUUCAGCUUCACUAGUAGGAUUGGAAGACUCUCUUCUUCCAGAUUCCUGAUCCUGGGAUAACCCUAUCCCUAGCUUCUCCAACAGCACCCUCAGUGUUGUUGCUCUAUCAGAUGGAGCUUGAGACAAAUCCUUCAGAUUUUCCCACUCCUUUUCUUCAUAAUACCCUUUGGAUUCAAUAAACUUCACUUCUCUAGAUACCAUCACUCUCCUUGCUUCAGGAUCAUAGCACUUGUAUCCCUUCUGAGUGAUAGAGUAUCCAAUAAACAUUGCCUUAGUACUCUUUGCCUCCAGCUUGUUUCUCUGUUCUCCUGGAGUCAUGACAUAGCAUACACACCCAAAUACUCGUAGGUGAUCAAUAAAAGGCUUGCUCUUAUUCAGCACCUCAAAUGGAGACAGAUUCUUCAGUAUCUUGGUUGGGACCCGGUUGAUGAGGUAGCAAGCAGUUUGAACAGCAUCUCCCCAAAAUCUUUUUGGGACAUUUGCAUGAAACAUCAUCGACCUAGCAACCUCCAUCAAGUGCCUAUUCUUCCUCUCAGCUACACCAUUCUGCUGUGGUGUGUAGGGACAACUGGUCUGAUGCACAAUCCCAUGCUUGGCUAGAUGACUCUUGAAGGCAUUGCUGAUGUAUUCACCUCCGUUGUCUGAUCUCAGUACCUUCACAGUAGCAUUGUAUUGAUUAGAUACAUAUGCUUGGAAGUUCAUAAACGCUUCUAGCACCUUAUCUUUAGAUGGAAGCAAUGUGAGCCAUGUAUACUUAGACUUCUCAUCAAUGAAUGUCACAAAGUAUUUAUGGCUGUCUCUAGACAUGCAUGGAGCGGUCCACACAUCCGAGUGAACUAGAUCAAAGCAAUGCUCAUAAGUAGUCUUAGAUGUUGGGAAAACAGUCCUACAAUGCUUUCCUAAUAUGCAUGCUUCACAAUCCAAGUGAUUGAAUGACAUAUUAGGGAUUAUCAACUCAAUGGCACGAGCAUGAGGAUGUCCUAAUCUAGCAUGCCAAGUAAUACUAUCAAUCUUCUCAGCAGUACUACUCAAGCAACUAGAAUCAAAGGGAUUAGAGGUCUUAGCCAAGUCGAGGUGGUAUAGUUGAUUCUUGCUGUCUCCUCUGCCAAUGACUCUCCCAGUCUUCAAAUCUUGGAACUCAACUUCAUCAGGUCUGAAUACUACUUGACAAUCAAGAUCAAUGGUAGCUUUCUUCACAGAUAAUAGAUUUGAAGUGAACUGAGGCAUAUAGAAAGCAGCCGUGUCCUUCUCAAACAGUUUGAGCUUUCCCACUCCUUCUAUUGGGAUCAUAGCGCCAUUAGCUAUCUUAACACUCCCUGUUGCAGCCUUGAUCUCACUUAUAAGCCUCCUAUCACUGAUCAUAUGAUGACUUGCUCCAGAAUCAAUCACCAUGGGUUUAGAAGCUCCGGAUUGUAUAGUAUGCUUCUUGCUUGCUGUUAAGGCUUGUACAUGUUCCAUGAACACUCUCCAUUCCUUCCUGGUGAUGCGAUCAUCAGCUCCACUCCCUUUCUCCUGCUCUCUCAACACCCCACUGUCUUCUACUGAUUCCCCCAUGUAGGCUGAGUAAGAACACUCUCCCACAACUCUCUUUCUACCCUUUCCUAUGUUGAUAGGAGCUUUGGAUAGCAUUCUGCACCUUCUCUUCUUCCGGAAGCCCUCACUCCUACUCCCGGUUAGCCUCCAUGAGCCCUCACUCCUACUCAUGGUUAGCUUCUGGAAGCUCUCACUCCUACUCCCAGUUGGCUUCCAUGAGCUCUCACUCCUACUCAUGGUUAGCCUCUCAUCAUCUCUCAUUAUCUCAUACGCCCUUCUUAUAAGCCCACAAAUCUCUUCCAUUUCCGGAAGCUGUUCCCCUCUUAGAACCAUCUCUACCAGCCACCCAUAUGAUGACUCCAUGCUCGCCAAGAGCUUCAAGACCGUCUCUUGCUCUUGUGUAGUAUACCCAUCCACAUGGGAUCUCAACCCUUGUAGUUCAACCCACAAAUGUUGUAGCUUCCUCACAUGGUUAUUGAACUCUUCUCUUCCUGGUUUACCUCCACUGAUCACCUUCUUGACUUCAUACACUCUCCUAAGACUGAUCUUGUUCUCAUAAACAUCUUCAAUCUUCUCAAGCAGUGUACUUUCUUCAAGACUAAAGCAACUUCCACUUGUUUCUCUUGCUGUCUGAUCUUUCUCAGCAGCUCUACCCUUCAAAGACUCUUCCUUCUCAUGGUUUCUCCAAACUCCACACCUCUUCAGAGUCGCUCUCAUUUGUGAGAACCACCCCCACUCAUUUCUUCUAUCUUCCUUCUCUUCACGCCUUGCUGAACCACAAGCUAGACCCAUCUUCUGACCUUGUCAAACACCUAAAGGGACUCCCUUGAAGCUGACUCUCCAAAAGAAACACCAACAGACACAAACUUGACUUUUAAAGGAUCUAGCUCUCGACAACUCUCAAGAACACUCAAGAACACUCAAGAACAUUUAGAAAAACGAAAUCACUCUCUCCUUUUGAACGAACCUGGCUCUGAUACCAUCUUAGAUUUGGUGAUUUAAGAAGUGAUUAAGUCUAAUCUGAGAAUUAAAGAGAUUGGAGAUUAAGAAUAAGAGAGAGACUUAAGAGAGAGAGACUCAAAACUCCAUUACUUUAUUAAUGAGUGAGGUUACAUAUUUAUAAGAGAGCUACAAGGGUUUCCAAAACUCGAAAUGGGCACUAUUGAAGCAUGUGAAGUCAAAGGUUGCUUUAGAGAUGGACGGAUAAGAGGACUCGCAUGCUUCCUCUCCUUACAGCCUGUCACAGCCUGGCAUGCUCUUCCCUUAUCCUCUCAACGUUCUGAUCCUUCUCCUCUUGAGUAACUCUUCCGCGUUUACCAUUUCACUUGGGCAAUGCAUGGUAAGUUUUGGUCGAGGCUUGGAUGGUACGGACUGUACGGCUUGUACGGCCUUGUACGGACGUCCGUACCAUACUCUCUCUAAACUCCACUCUGCCUCAUCUCUUCAUCUCCUCAACUCCUCUUCUCUUCUCACUUAUAUGCUUAACUCAACUCAACACUGGGAAACUGGAAUCACCUGAUUUGAAAGUGGGAUAACUUCUUCAUCCCAACUCCUAUGAGAUUUAUUCAACUUCCUGGUGUUUCCCCACCAUUUUAUGUAUCAAAAUCAAGCUUCUUACAAAGUGAUUCAUCCUGGUUUGAUUGGAUUGACGAAGAAGCUGUCCUAUUCCCAAACUGGGUCUUAGAUUUGGUGAUUUAAGAAGUGAUUAAGUCUAAUCUGAGAAUUAAAGAGAUUGGAGAUUAAGAAUAAGAGAGAGACUUAAGAGAGAGAGACUCAAAACUCCAUUACUUUAUUAAUGAGUGAGGUUACAUAUUUAUAAGAGAGCUACAAGGGUUUCCAAAACUCGAAAUGGGCACUAUUGAAGCAUGUGAAGUCAAAGGUUGCUUUAGAGAUGGACGGAUAAGAGGACUCGCAUGCUUCCUCUCCUUACAGCCUGUCACAGCCUGGCAUGCUCUUCCCUUAUCCUCUCAACGUUCUGAUCCUUCUCCUCUUGAGUAACUCUUCCGCGUUUACCAUUUCACUUGGGCAAUGCAUGGUAAGUUUUGGUCGAGGCUUGGAUGGUACGGACUGUACGGCUUGUACGGCCUUGUACGGACGUCCGUACCAUACUCUCUCUAAACUCCACUCUGCCUCAUCUCUUCAUCUCCUCAACUCCUCUUCUCUUCUCACUUAUAUGCUUAACUCAACUCAACACUGGGAAACUGGAAUCACCUGAUUUGAAAGUGGGAUAACUUCUUCAUCCCAACAACUCAACACUCCCCCUCAAGCUUAGCUUUGUAUAAGUCUAAGCUUGGACAGCCACAAGAUCUUCCUCAUUAAAAACCUCACCAAAGAAAACCCAAUGGGAUAAAACUUUGAUGAGGGAAAAAGAGUAAAGACCUUGCAGCUAAGGGGAUUAGCUCCUUCUCUUCCCAAGAUCAAUGAGGCCCAACCUGAUGUGAAUGGACUCCAUUGUCUUCUGUCUUGCAGCCUUGGUGAACACAUCCGCUAGCUGAUCUUCACUCCUUGUGUAGCAUGGCAAGAUCACCCCUAGCACAAUCAUCUGCCUCACCUUGUGACAAUCAACUUCAAUGUGCUUGGUUCUCUCGUGAAACACCGAGUUGGAUGCAAUGUGGAUGGCAGCUUGAUUGUCACAAUGCAUUGUCAUUGGAGUUGCUUGAUCAAUCUCCAAGUGCUUCAAGAUGCCUUUGAUCCAUACCAACUCGUUGGUGAGCUUCAGCAUGGCUCUAUACUCGGCUUCUGCACUUGAACAUGACACUACCUUCUGCUUCUUGCUUUUCCAAGUUACCAAGUUGCCUCCAAUGAAUGUGCAAUAGCCUGUGGUUGAUCUCCUGUCUGCUCUAUCACCAGCCCAAUCCGCAUCACAAUAUCCUACAACCUCAGUACUCUUGUUACAUCCCAUCCAUACUCCAAGACCAGUAGUUCCAUUCAGAUACAUCAAGAUCCUUUCCACCAUCCGCCAGUGGUGCUCCUUAGGAACUUGCAUGUGUUGACUGACUUGAUUCACCGCAAAGCACACAUCAGGUCUAGUAAUGGUAAGAUAGAUCAACUUCCCCACUAGCUUCCUAUACAGCUUAGGAUCAUGGAAUGGCUUGCUAUCCUCAAUCUCCCCCUCACGUGGAACCUUGUACCCAUCCUCCAUUGGCAUCUUGGCUAUCUUUCCUCCAUAGGCAUCUGCUCCCUUCAAUAGAUCAAUCACAUACUUCCUUUGAGACAUAAACAAUCCUUCCUUUGAUCUGCAUAUCUCAAUCCCAAGAAAAUACUUCAUUUCCCCCAAGUCUUUAAUCUCAAAGCUUGCCUUGAGAUACUCCUUUGUAGCCUUGAUGCCUUCCUUAUCACUGCCUGUGAUGAUGAUAUCAUCCACAUACACAAGUAAUACCACAAUACCAGAUGAGGUGGUUAGGGUAAAGAGAGUGUGAUCCAAUUCUGACUUCCUGAACCCUCUCCCAUUCAGUGUAGUACUCAACUUGUUGUACCACGCCCUUGGAGACUGCUUGAGACCGUAGAUAGCUUUCCUCAACCUCAACACAUUACCCUUCUUUACUAGAUGUU
rnacentral:lncRNA from 1 species